rnacentral:rRNA from 1 species
AUUGAACGCUGGCGGCAGGCCUAACACAUGCAAGUUGAACGGUAACAGGAAGAAGCUUGCUUCUUUGCUGACGAGUGGCGGACGGGUGAGUAAUGUCUGGGAAACUGCCUGAUGGGGGGGAUAACUACUGGAAACGGUAGCUAAUACCGCAUAACGUCGCAAGACCAAAGAGGGGGACCUUCGGGCCUCUUGCCAUCGGAUGUGCCCAGAUGGGAUUAGCUAGUAGGUGGGGUAACGGCUCACCUAGGCGACGAUCCCUAGCUGGUCUGAGAGGAUGACCAGCCACACUGGAACUGAGACACGGUCCAGACUCCUACGGGAGGCAGCAGUGGGGAAUAUUGCACAAUGGGCGCAAGCCUGAUGCAGCCAUGCCGCGUGUAUGAAGAAGGCCUUCGGGUUGUAAAGUACUUUCAGCGGGGAGGAAGGGAGUAAAGUUAAUACCUUUGCUCAUUGACGUUACCCGCAGAAGAAGCACCGGCUAACUCCGUG